GACGAACGCUGGCGGCGUGCUUAACACAUGCAAGUCGAACGGUAGGGCCCAGCUUGCUGGGUACACGAGUGGCGAACGGGUGAGUAACACGUGGGUGACCUGCCCUUAGCUCUGGGAUAAGCCUGGGAAACUGGGUCUAAUACCGGAUGUUCACUGUCUGCUGCAUGGUGGGUGGUGGAAAGGUUGUGUCUUGUGGCAUGGCUGGCUGGGGGAUGGGCCCGCGGCCUAUCAGCUUGUUGGUGGGGGUGAUGGCCUACCAAGGCGG
rnacentral:rRNA from 1 species